rnacentral:rRNA from 1 species
UGUGAGUCGUAUUAGUCGAGCGGUAACAGGUGUAGCAAUACAUGCUGACGAGCGGCGGACGGGUGAGUAACGCUUGGGAAUCUGCCUGUUAGUGGGGGACAACCCGGGGAAACUCGGGCUAAUACCGCAUACGCACUACGGUGGAAAGCCGGGGACCGCAAGGCCUGGCGCUAACAGAUGAGCCCAAGUCGGAUUAGCUAGUUGGUAGGGUAACGGCCUACCAAGGCGACGAUCCGUAACUGGUCUGAGAGGACGACCAGUCACACCGGAACUGAGACACGGUCCGGACUCCUACGGGAGGCAGCAGUGGGGAAUAUUGGACAAUGGGCGAAAGCCUGAUCCAGCGACGCCGCGUGGGUGAAGAAGGCCUGCGGGUUGUAAAGCCCUUUCGGUGGGGAAGAAAAGCCUCGAGCUAAUACCUCGGGGUCUUGACGUAACCCAUAGAAGAAGCACCGGCUAACUCUGUGCCAGCAGCCGCGGUAAUACAGAGGGUGCGAGCGUUAGUCGGAAUUACUGGGCGUAAAGCGCGCGUAGGCGGCUUUGCAAGUCGGGUGUGAAAUCCCCAGGCUUAACCUGGGAACUGCAUUCGAGACUGCAUUGCUAGAGUAUGGGAGAGGGAAGUGGAAUUUCCGGUGUAGCGGUGAAAUGCGUAGAUAUCGGAAGGAACAUCAGUGGCGAAAGCGACUUCCUGGACCAAUACUGACGCUCAUGUGCGAAAGCGUGGGGAGCAAACAGGAUUAGAUACCCUGGUAGUCCACGCCAUAAACGAUGAGAACUGGAUGUCGGGAGGGUCUGCCUCUCGGUGUCGUAGCUAACGCGUUAAGUUCUCCGCCUGGGGAGUACGGCCGCAAGGUUG